AUGCUUUUUUAGAAUUUUUCA
ensembl:piRNA 21ur-5420 ncRNA